AGUUUGGCUAAUACCGCGUAAGCUCCAAGGAGGAAAGUAGGGGACCUAAAUAAGGCCUUACGCUAUUUGAUCGGCCGAUGUCGGAUUAGUUAGUUGGUGGGGUAAUGGCUCACCAAGGCAAUGAUCCGUAGCGGGUCUGAGAGGACGAUCCGCCACACUGGGACUGAGACACGGCCCAG
rnacentral:rRNA from 1 species